rfam:Triticum aestivum genome assembly, contig: Triticum_aestivum_CS42_TGACv1_scaffold_392934_5AS
CAACUACUCCCUCCGUUCCGAAUUACUUGUCUUGAAUUUGUCUAGAUACGGAUGUAUCUAAACUCAUUUUAGUGCUAGAUACCUCCGUAUCUAGACAAAUCUAAGACAAAUAAUUCGGAAUGGAGAGAGUACGAG